ensembl:lncRNA
AGAAAACCCAAUUUUAUAAAUUAUGGAUUUGGAGAAUUGUUGUAUCCCUACAAUGAGCUUAUAUAAUGAUAAAAUCACACAUUUGGUACUCACAAUAGGACACAAUAAUCUGCAGUCUCUCUGUAGUUGGGCAGAAUAAAAGGAAAUAAAACUGUCUUCAUGAUCUUAAUAUUCCCCUGUCCCACAAGUUAAUUAUCACUCAGAUAAAGACAAAGCACCCUGAAAUCAGCAGAGGGAAGAAGGGUUGGAAUCAAUGGUACUUACACUGUAUGAGGAAGUGCUUGUGUGUUGUACUACAGGGAGCUCACCGUGCUACUACCGUGCAUAGCCUUGCAUAGCCACCUUGCUGCUGGGGAGCGCUUAAUAUUUUAAGCCUUUAGUAGUCACUACCAGCUGCCUUUUUAUCACUAUCUGCUGCUUUCACUCUCAUUCCAUCCUAGUCAUUGUGUCUCUUUUGGCUACCUACCACAUAUCCAUGUUCACUGACAGACUGCACUCCAACUUUUUAUUUUUUUCCACUUUCUUUUUUUCUUUUGCGUUCUCUUUAUCUCCCAUACUCCCUUCUGUAUGUUAAUGUAUCUCUGGUGUCAUGUGUUUCAGUUGAGUGAGUCACCAGUCUUCAAUGCUGCAUAGAUCCAUUCAAGGCUGCCAUCACUGUGACAAUUAGGCCGGUAAAUAAAGAUAAUGUGAGCUAUCCAGGGUCCUUAACUGCUGCACUGCAAUUAACAGAGCUGAUUGGUGGGUAAAGCCUCAACAUGGAUGGCGGAAAAUUAGUCAGACAGAGAGGAACUGUUCAUGGAGUCAGGUUUCCAUUUAAUUUUGAACAGAGUGGAACUGCCCUUCACAGCAGUAUGUUAGUAGAAUAAAAUGUUGCCUAUGUCAAGUAUCCCACUCUGUAUAUACGUUUGGCUACUUGCCAAAGCCCAUAUCCACAGGAAAGUAUUGGAAUGUAGGUAAAGUUAGAGCAUUACCUUUAGGCUAAGCGCCGUCUUCACUAUUCAGUACAAAAGCUGCUGAUCUUGUGUUCCACCUUAUGAUUCAGAG